rnacentral:tRNA from 1 species
UGCAAGUUUGGCAGAUUUAGAUGCGUGAGAUUUAGGAUCUCAUUAUAACCAUAAGGGUUAACUUGUAA